GGAUAUAGCUCAGUGGUAGAGCACUUACCUAGCAUGCACGAGGUCCUGGAUUUGAACCCCAGUACCA
rnacentral:tRNA from 1 species